rnacentral:rRNA from 1 species
AUUGAACGCUGGCGGCAGGCCUAACACAUGCAAGUCGAGCGGGGUUUUCGGACCUAGCGGCGGACGGGUGAGUAAUGCGUAGGAAGCUACCCGAUAGAGGGGGAUACCAGUUGGAAACGACUGUUAAUACCGCAUAAUGUCUACGGACCAAAGUGUGGGACCUUCGGGCUACAUGCUAUCGGAUGCGCCUACGUGGGAUUAGCUAGUUGGUGAGGUAAUGGCUCACCAAGGCGACGAUCCCUAGCUGGUUUGAGAGGAUGAUCAGCCACACUGGACCUGAGACACGGUCCAGACUCCUACGGGAGGCAGCAGUGGGGAAUAUUGGACAAUGGGCGCAAGCCUGAUCCAGCCAUGCCGCGUGUGUGAAGAAGGCCUUCGGGUUGUAAAGCACUUUCAGUAGGGAGGAAGCGUUGUGUGUUAAUAGUACACAGCGUUGACGUUACCUACAGAAGAAGCACCGGCUAACUCUGUGCCAGCCGCCGCCGUAAUAC